rnacentral:rRNA from 1 species
UACGUAGGGUGCGAGCGUUGUCCGGAAUUACUGGGCGUAAAGAGUUCGUAGGCGGUUUGUCGCGUCGUUCGUGAAAACUUGGGGCUUCAACUACCAGCGUGCGGGCGAUACGGGCAGACUUGAGUACUACAGGGGGAGACUGGAAUUCCGUGGUGUAGCGGUGAAAUGCGCAGAUAUCAGGAGGAACACCGGUGGCGAAGGCGGCCGAUCUGGACGUUCACUGACGCUGAGACGACGAAGCGUGGGUAGCAAACAGG